rnacentral:rRNA from 1 species
AUUGAACGCUGGCGGCAUGCUUUACACAUGCAAGUCGAACGGUAACAGGUUAAGCUGUCGAGUGGCGAACGGGUGAGUAAUGCAUCGGAACGUGCCCGGUCGUGGGGGAUAACGCAGCGAAAGCUGCGCUAAUACCGCAUACGAUCUGAGGAUGAAAGCGGGGGACCGUAAGGCCUCGCGCGAUCGGAGCGGCCGAUGUCAGAUUAGGUAGUUGGUGGGGUAAAGGCUCACCAAGCCAACGAUCUGUAGCUGGUCUGAGAGGACGGCCAGCCAAACUGGGACUGAGACACGGCCCAGACUCCUACGGGAAGCAGCAGUGGGGAAUUUUGGACAAUGGGCGAAAGCCUGAUCCAGCAAUGCCGCGUGCAGGAAGAAGGCCUUCGGGUUGUAAACUGCUUUUGUACGGAGCGAAAAGGUCUCCUCUAAUACAGGGGGCUCAUGACGGUACCGUAAGAAUAAGCACCGGCUAACUACGUGCCAGCAGCCGCCGUAA